AGAGGGUGAAACUCCCGUCCGCCUGGUAGAAUGAGUCUUUGUCAACGAGUCGAGUUGUUUGGGAUUGCAGCUCUAAUUUGGUGGUAAAUUCCAUCUAAAGCUAAAUAUUGGUGGGAGACCGAUAGCGUACAAGUACCGUGAGGGAAAGAUGCAAAGAACUUUGAAAAGAGAGUUAAAGAGUACCUGAAAUUGCUGAAACGGAAGCGAAGGAAACCAGUGUUUGUGGUUCAUAUUUCCUUGGCCACUUAUGGGUUUGGGCGCUGUGAGCUUGCGUGGGUUUGGGUUGGUUGAUCCCUUUGGAAGAGCGCAGUCAGAGUUGAUGUCU
rnacentral:rRNA from 1 species